GCUUGAGUUAGCUGGAACUCAGGUGAGCAUAUAACCAGCUAAUGGCAACAACAAUUUUUUCUUCCUUGCCCCUAGAUUAUUAAAGAUAAUAUUUGUGUCUUUACAAGUACCCUUCUUACCCUAGGUUUUUGAAGAUAAUAUUUAUGUCUUUACAACUGCCCUUCUUAUAAUUACAAGUGAAAAGCAGGAUGUCAGUGUUUCAGAUAACAGUUUGUUUUUGAUACUCCUUUUUCUAUUGUUCCAACAAUUUGACUGGAAUGAUUUCAAAUAACUUUUCAAAGACCUCAACUUAGUCCAUUAUAGUUGUUGCAUAAGAAUACAGUCUUGGAGAAUCCAAGUUCUUUCUAAAGUACCCAAAAUAUAAUAUAAUGUCUACUUGAAAGCAUACAACUCUCUAUAGUGAAUUCAUGUAAAUUUAUAUGAUCUUCUCAUCCAUCAGAUCUUUUUGUAUCAUACGUUUGAUUACUGAGAUGCAUAGUCUUUUAUGCAGCUUUAUUAUUCUGUUGUGUAGAUAGUUCACCCAGUGGAAAAAUGUUCAGAGUGUAAAUCUACUCAUGAUGAAUUUAUGCUAGUAAAUUGUUAUUCACAAUUGGCUAUCUGGGAAUCCCACAAAGACCAAUUUCUUGAUUUCUCUCAAAAUUUUAUCUCCUUUUUCUCUCAAAUUUGGCAAGUAUUCAACCUUCAAGUGGACCUUUCAAUGCAUUCUGGUUACUUUGACUCAUUUGAUUGACUGAAUUAACG
rnacentral:misc_RNA from 1 species